GUGACUGAUGAUCGAAUGAAGGAAAUGCAGAAUGAUGCCAUUUGUGGAAUGAAGGUGCUGAUGAGCAGCGAGGCAGGAAGGAUUCCAUUGCCUUGGAUGGUUAUUGCACAGAAGAUGUUGAGCCCAGAAAGGAGCUCAAUUUCCCUUAGUAGUAGUUCCUGCGUCAAAACAAACAUUUAACACCAAGGUCUUUUCCAAGAAUAGAAAUGAAGUAUUUUUCAAACCCCGUCAUGAAGAUAUCAUAGGAUACAGAUACCACAUUUGUAGCCAUAUAUCCAAACCCAACAGACAGGCUUUUCUGUAAAAAAAAAAUAGUAAAACC